rnacentral:misc_RNA from 1 species
UCCCUAGUAAAUUCGUGAAAUUCCUCGAUUGGGCGAGCUGGUGUAAAUUUUUGUCAGUUUUUAUUUGGAAUAAAAGUUAUUAAAACAUAUAUUUACCAUUCUUAAAACUCAACAGUAUAAUUGGAAGCCACGUUCUGUGAUUUUUAUCAAAUAAAUUAUUGGAAAUAACGUGUCAGUGGCCUGUUUAAGUGCGCAAAUUGGCUGCGUCAGUAAAGGCGCAGUGGAAAACGCUGAAAAAGUAAUCGGUGAAAACCCCUUUGAAAACAACGAAAAGUUGUAUAUAAACCAGAUCUUGCAUAUUUGAAUUAAAGUUUUUUUCCAAAAAAACAUCAAAAACUAUAAAUAAGGAAGCGUACACCCUCUCCGAUAAGCAAACGAUAGCAUUCCAAUAGUUUUUAGAUAAGCGAAGGCGGGGAAGACUGCGAUAGCAAACUUGUACUGCUGGUGAGUCAUCCAAGAUAAAAUCGCAGUGCACAGCGAACGGAGCGAAAACAAAAAAUCAACUUGCAGCAGCAACAGCUCCAAGGCCCCUGCCAUAUUUCGUGUUGACAAAGAAAAAUAAAAUCAAAAAUAGCUGAAAGCACUGUUGCUUUACGGUAGUGACGUCAUCAUUGUGCUCAAAGGCUUUUACGCGGAUUAAGAAAUUUACUAUGAAAACAACUAUCAGUGUUACCACAACUACCAACACAGCAACGUCGGUAGGCAGCUCCGCGCCAUCAGUCGCCAUUAUACCCAAAACGGAAUCAAGCGAUCUGAAUUUGACCUUUCAAACGCCCAACGCGGCUGCAACCAGUAGCAGCAACACCACUGGAAGUGCAAAUAAACGACCUGUAUCGUUAGAUCUUAACAAAGUGGCGGCAAAAAAGCAACGUUUAGUGGCACCUUCGCCACUCCACAUAGAUUCGCCCAAUUUGGAGAAUUUAAAAACAAUUAAUACACCAGAUAUCGAGAAAAUGCUUCUAAGCAAUGUGAUGCCGACUCCGCAGCCUGGUGUUAUAUUUCCAAGCAAAACGAGUACGGUAACUUCUGAACAAGAAGAUUACGUCAAAGGAUUCGAAGAGGCCUUGAGUAACUUACAUCAAAGCAAGAAGUCGCAGGCCGCACAAAUAAUAAACAGCAGCAAUAGCAACGUUGAGGUUACGGCCAUAACAACAAAUACGUCCACCGCGCCAGUUGUUGGCACUGGCAUUAGUGGCGGGUCGUUCACCUAUACCAAUUUAGAAACUUUCCCGGUUGCCAUCAAGGACGAACCACAAAAUCCGGCAUCACCAGCAGCACUCAGUCCUAUUGAUAUGGAAACACAAGAAAAAAUCAAAUUGGAGCGUAAGCGACAACGUAAUCGUGUAGCAGCAUCAAAGUGCCGAAAACGUAAGCUCGAACGCAUCUCAAAAUUGGAAGAUAAAGUAAAAAUUCUAAAGGGCGAGAACUCUGAAUUGGGUGCAGUAGUUAAAAGCUUGAAAGAUCAUGUGGCACAGCUCAAGGAGCAAGUGAUGGAUCACAUUAGCUCUGGUUGCACAAUUUCUAUGUUAUCUGAUCAGCCAAUGUUGUCUGGCAAAUAACAUGAGGAUUCAGUUGUAGGCAUGCGUAAACUAGAGCAAAGUGAAAUAAGGGAUAAUACACGCGAAUUAGCUUUUAGGCAAAGGAGUGGAAUAAUAAUGGAAUGUAAUCUUAAUUCUAAAGUUGUUGAUAUAAAAACUGAAAAUGGCCAUGGUUCUCUUGGAAACGAUCAACACCAAACGAAAUUACCAAGUGCCACCCUACAUCGUAAGCAACAGGAAGAGGAAACUGAACCAGAUUUAUCAGAUUUACAACUAAAUAAUAGCAUAAUCAAUGUGAUUGAGCAGCAUAUGCCCAUUGAAUUGUUCAUGGAAACUCCACCACUGACUGGUGACAGUUUAUCGACUCAUUCAACAAAUUCUAUGAGCUCCAGCGCUGGUGUUAGCGUCGAGUCUGAGUCGCAUAACAACAAUCAAACAACGGCAAAUGCAACUGUUCUUGCGCUGGAUGCAACUACAGUAGCUACUGCAAUACCAGCAGAUAUGGCCGAUCAUAUUCGUUCUAAUGGAGAUGCUGACGGCGAGAGACCGCUUGUUUUAGUUAUUAUCACAGAUUAUGACAUGCAGCAUUAAACCAAAAAAUAUUAAAAAACAUUUUUUUUUGCUCAUGGCACGGUGUCCAGUAAAUAUAAAAUAGUUCGCCUGUAAAUGCUUUGAAUGUAAAGUGCCUUUAUUCAAAAGCCAGUAAAUAAAAUGCCUCAGUAACCAGGAAAAUUUUAUUAGUAUUGCAGAUGUUUGCUGCUAAAAAAAAAAAAUGCCUUAUAAAAUAUGUAUGAAAUUCUUAUUUGCUUUGCUCUGUAUUACCCAGUAGGUAUUCUAAAAAUAUGCCUCUUAAUUGCUUAUUUAUUUAAUAUCUUCAUAUUUGUUGUAUGUUAAUUUAUUUGUUAGAUAUACUAAUAUCAGGUUUUAGUUUUUAUAAAAUUUACUAGUAUAAGGCUUACACAAAUCUAUAUUAACUUUGUAGCAAAGCACGCUUAUUGCAAUAAGCGCAAUCUGUACGUUUUAAGAGUAUUUGCAUAAUAAAUUAAUGAAAAAAGACAAAUAUACGGUCUAUGCCGAUUUUGCUGAAUUGUAUGCUUAUAAUUGGCACUUGGAUGUACAACUCCUUUCAGUUAAUGGUUAAGCUAAAGAGAGCACAACUGUUGCAACGAGUCCAGAAUGAAAAGCAAGAACAUAAAGGGGAGCGUACCAACGAGGAACAUGCCAAAUCCGAGUAAAUUAUUUAAGGACAUCUAGCAGUACGAUUUGGAAAAUAUUUAAAGCUUUGGUAUAACACUUCAUGCAACUGGCACUUUCUUUGAAAGGGCCAUCUUUUUUAUGGCCAUGGAAGAAUACAUAUUAGAGAUUUAGUCGCAUGAUUUUUUUGUAGUCAUUUGUACUUAUAUAGAUAUAAAUAUUAAAUAAUGGUGAAAA